GAUCUAAGCGCAGUCCAGCUUCUCUGCGCUGUGGAGCCCCAGUCAGUCCGACAGUGAAGGACACAGAAAGAGGAGAGAUUGUGCAGCAGUGCAGCGCAGGAAUAAUUAACUGAAUUAAAAUGGCAAAGAAGCAGGAGAAAAGCAUCACCCUCCCAUCUGUCUGACUGAAUAGUUGGAUAAAGCUGACAAGGAGGUACAACAGGAAUAACAAGGAGGAGGGGAGGAGGUGCCAGAGGUCCGUCCAUGCUUAUUUCUCCUCUCGCACCGUCCGCCUGAGGAGCUUUGCUGCUGAUGGUGUCACUGCGACAGCGCUCAGUGAGGGAGCUGUGUGAGCGCGCUGGUGUGCCUGUUUAAAUAUCAACAGCUGAGAGUUCAUCUAUCAGGUGGAUGUGGAGUAAAUCUGGGAUUUGUGAGCUGGAAGAGUUUCGUUCAGGUGUCAGUUGAACAUUCCUCAUUUUCGCCCCUCUUCCCUUUUUUCCUUUGGUGCAUUCGUCUGUACGAGAAGCUUUGCCUGUUUGAUCAGGAACUGCUGCUGCGCUCUGCUUCCCCCUUUCCUACCUCGCUUCUCUUCAGCCCUCUACCGGCUUUUUAGUAACUGUUCUGGGACUACAAUUGGCGGUCUGGUUUGGUGGCUCCCCCACAGACAGAAAAAGCAUAUGGAUGCCACUGCGUCUUAUACAUCGUUACCCAAUAUGCCAGAAGCCUGAAUCCUUGGGCGGACUCCACUGCCUAGGCUUCCAACCGCAGUUGAUGCCUGCUGCCAUUCAGCCAACCCACACAUCAUCUUUGGCAGAUCCAUGUUGACUCUAUCUGUUCAAAGGCUCAAUAGUCUCCAGCUGCUUCUUUGAGGACAUCAGAAAAAGAAAGGAAAAGAAAAAAAAAAUUGUCGGGGUUUGAAAAUGUUGCUCCUCUGAUGAAUUCCCUUUUUUUCCCGGAUUCUGAUUCUGUGAAGUGAAAAAAAACCUGAACUGACACCAACCCUAAGCCUUGACACAGCGGGUGAAAUGUAAUUGAAAAAAACAAAAAUAUUGGACACUUCUUCCAACGAGCCUCCCCGCGGUGCUGAGUCACAGAAGGUGACAUGCGUCUCAUCCUACCAUGUAGCCACAACAACUCGAGGAAACCUCCCAGAAACUUUUCUUCCAAACACUCAGCUAUUUUUAACAAGCUGAUACACAACACUGAGUCAAUCAGCUGAGAGACUUAUAAAGUGCCACUGGGUUAUUAUCAGCCUGUGCACUUCCUAUUUACAUCUUUAAUCUUUGUUUUCUGAGUAAUUAUCUUUUUAAUUAAUGGCGACAGAGGCGUGAAUUCCUCCCUGCCACCUUCUUCAGUUCUUUCCUUUUUCACCGCUGCUAGAGACACCUGAAACCAAUUAACUACAACUGAUAUAGUUGUGGAUUAGACACAAGAAGAGCUGGAGUGAUUAGAUGUAAAUACAAAGAGAGUAAAAGGCGACCAAGAACAAAA